rnacentral:misc_RNA from 1 species
GAGAUUGGUCACGGCUACUGCUUUCCCACAAAAGUCUCGCCUCUCCCUGCUGCCGCUUGCCGUCGCCCAUCUCUCCUCCCCUCUAUUCUGGCCAUCUGCUAGUGGAUUGCUUGAUCUGCUACAGUGCUAAUCUCAGGUACUUUCUUUUUUUUCUUAUUCAACUAUCAUUGCUAUUCUGUGCUAUUGUGGUUUACUGGUUUCUCACAAAAGUUUUCUUGAAAUAUAUUCAUGUAUAUAUGUUUUCAGCCCUCUUUCGUUUUUGUCCCUGCAUUUACCUGCACUUUUUAGAUGUUGAGUUGGUGACUUGUACAGAGCAGUAUUGGGAACUGAAUCAAACAAAAGCAAGUGUGGAGUCUAAAUGGAGUUGAGGGGUUGAGGGAAGUUCAUAAAACACUUUUCAGAUUUUGCUGUAUGAUGAUAGUGUGAUAUCUGGAAUUAUACGAAAUGAAUGAGUAGAUUUUGGAGAAGCAUUAGCAUUUCUGCCGCUAAUUUUUUUGUGCCACUUGUAGUGGUAUUUUUUCCUUUUUUCUUUCUUGAUCAAGGACAACUGGGGAACUUUUGCAUUGCUUCAUGGUUGUUUGUAAAUGUCAAAUUACAUAUUAAAAUGAAAUCUUACAUAUAUAAUUUCAAGUUGGUGUUGGAGAUUAGCAGGUCAGAGUGACUUGGUGAAUUGAUCAUAGUUACAUUUAAAAAAUUUCUUCUUAACCAUGUAAUGUGAAAGCUGUUCCAUCUAAUUAAGAAGUAGGUACAGAUGCUCCAACUCAAUUUCCCCAAGUCAUCAGCUAGAGAAGUCUUGUGCUGUAGCAAGGCAGCAAUGGCAAAUACUGAGCUUUAUUUUCCACAAUAAAGCAAAGUAUAUACACAAAUGGUCCUGGACAUUUUGCAGCAAUGAGGCCUAAUCUAAAAGGAGAUGCUGAAACCACAACCACCUUGGCUCUGGAUAAUAAUUUCAUUUUUCUGUGAUCAUUGGUUCGUUUUUCUUCCCCUUUCUUUUACCCUCCUUCCUUUUCCAUCAGCUCUUUAUCUUCCCGUCUUUUCUUCCGACCAUGGAAUUGUUUCAGUCCGCUGGACAGCACUAGGCCGAUAAAGCAUACCAAAUUUAUUCUUUUACCUUUAGCUGUGCAAAGUUCAGCAUCAUUAUUGCAAAAUCUUAGAAGAUAGUUUCCAUGCAUUUCUUUACCAAGAGUUGGUAACUUGAUAGUAAAAAUUUAAGGCAAAGAAAGAGAAGAUAAUGAUAUUUUAUUUAGAUAUAUAAUUCAUUCCACGUACAUAAUGGCAAGAGAAGUAACUCUAACCCAUGGCAUGGAUGAUGGACCUCUCACUCUAUCUAGUUAUAUUGCCAAUGUCCCCAAAUGCAAUUGCCACCUUAGAUUUUUACUCUCUUUUUGGCCUGAUCUCUAUCCCUUGAACAACCAGACCGUGCUUCCAGUUAAGACGCUUCACUUCUAAAACACUUAUUUCCAGCUCUCAUAUAUAUAUAUAUAUAUAUAAACGUAAUGUGAUUGUUAAAUACACACAAGCGUAAACGCAGUCCUACAUGGACUAAUUGGAGACUAUAUCACUUUAUGGAGAUCAGUAGAAUAGCACAGGUAUUUCGAAAGUUGAUUACCUUCCCAAGCACCCAAAGGUAACAGAGAGGAAGUGAUAAGAGAGAGAAAUCAAAACACCGCACUGGAGAAUAUGAAAAUCAUAUGAAAGAUCCUGACUCUAUCCAUUUGUAAAACAAACUACUAAUCUCUCAUUUUUGUGAUUUUAAGGCAAUCUAGAAGAAGAUUGGUUUUGCUGAGAAUCACUAGGAACAAAUACAGGAAGUUGGCCACCCCUCUGUGAUCUGCCCUGCUGAUAAUGAUUCAAUGCGGAACCUCUAUCUAGGCCAGGUGCCACUGAACUACUACUUCUUGUCCCUCUGCCUAGCGGCUCAUUCGCAAGAGGGCCGCCAAAGAAUAUAGAUUGAUUUGUGUACAAAAGCUCUGCUCCAGGAACCUGAGAAGAACCAACACCUCUGGAUGAAGAGGAGACGAAGCGUCCAGCUUCAGGAUCCCAAUACACUGAGGUUCUCAAAUUCUCCACUGCACCCAGGUUUCUUCUUGAAUGAAUUUGUGCCACAUUUUCUUGGGGUGCAUUCCCAGUUGCUUCACUUCGUCUUGUGGAAAAAGGAGAUUGGUUUUCUGAUGAUUGAUAAAUGGGGUUCAAGUGCUCCCUGUUUGAAGUUUGCUGGUGUAAUGGAGAGGUGGUGAGGUUGGAGACGUUAACACUACUGAUGUUGCUAAGACUUUGGUUGCAUGCUUCAAUAUCAUCCCUGCUAGCAUGACUAACAUUGCUGGGUGCAUAUGAAUUGCUCCUAGAAGGAGAUACUCUUGAUGUCCCUGUUCUAGCAUUUCUAUUAUGAAACCCCUGAUCUGUACUAAUAGGGCUGCUCUUUCCACUAACAUUGCUACUAGAUAAAUGAUCAGUGUCAUAUGGAUGAUGUCGAGAACUUAUUGGACGUAGCACUGACGAUGAUGCUCUAGCCUUAGCAGCCGCUUUAAUUGCCUCAUUGGAAUCCAACUUUGCAAGUUUCCAGGCACUGAUUCGAACUGGACGAUGCGGCAGUUUUUUGCCUUUGUCAGCUUCUUGAGUUGCAUCUGGGUCAACUGUAGAUGGUAGGCGUCCAGGCUCCAAAUGUGGAAUAAUUUCAUCCUGGUGGUCCAUGAAAAUUCUUGGAGGGGUACACCAAGCACCUUUGUAUUGCAAGCUCAUUCCAAUAGAACUUCUUCCACUUGCAGCAGUCACAGCUGAACUAGUUGGUGAAGAUGGGAGACUUUGCUGGUCUCCCCCGUCUACAGAUGGUCCAGGUGGUUCACUUUGAGUUCUCAUGGCAACAACAUACUCAUAUGUUGUGAUACCCUUCCGAAUAAGAAUCAUGUGGAAAAAGAAUAGUUCUCCCAAUGGCACAGUGGCAAGAAAAGACACAGCUGUGCACACUGCCACAACAGUAGCGAAGGGGGGACGGGAGAAUCCAAUGCCAAGCUUCUCUGUUAUUUGAUGGUCCAUACCCUUUCUAUCUACAAAACACCGGACAAGGACCACAAUGCCAACUCCAAAUUCAACAACAAGCCAAACAAGGCUAGUUGCCAUAAGGGACACAAAGGUGAUGUAAUUCUUCCUUCCUACACAAUUGUUCAACCACCGACAAUGAUGAUCAAAUCCAUCAACACAUUUGUCACAACUUCUGCAAUGUUUGCUGAACUUGCGCACCUCAGCGUUGCACAAUGUGCAGAAUAAAGCCUCCUCCCCAGAUUGUUGCUGAAGAAUAUCUUCAUCACUGCAGCAAUCUUGUUUCACAAGAAAACCACAAAAGAAACCCCCAAGGUUUGAACACCAACUUGAACCAUUUCUAUUUGAUUUCCCUCCGUCCUUUAACCUCAUCUUGCUAGGUUCUUCAAUAGAAGAUGCAUUUCCAGGCAGAUCCAUGUCAUUUUGUGAUUUAUGUGCUGCUGUCUCAUCAACUUCAAGCAGAAUUCCAGGAUCAGCAGGAUCAAUAGCAGUGCAUCGUACAUAAAGAAUGAAUACAGCAAGCGCUAAGACAGAAUAAACACCAACAGCCACGUAUUCAUAGAUAUCCUUCCCAAGAAAGGGAGCAAAGAAGGCAUAAUAUGCAACAGAUAGCAAGAAGAAAACCGUUAUUGCCACAAUCUGAAAAGUGUGGACAGGGAGUUGCCAUCCGUUACGUCUAGCCAUAAUAAACAAAACCCACUAGUACAAGCUCGUAAAUCAACACCACCUACGCUCUAAAACCACCAUUUGAACAAAAAGCCGACUCCAACAGAACCCAAAAUGCAAAAAAUUCACAAAACCAUUUCAAACAAAAACUGAGCGCAUUCCUGUAAACAACAGUUUAUUCCCUGUUCAAUCUCGGCCCAUACACUAAAAGGUCAGUUUUGAGACUCAUGAAGCUGGUUUUUGAGCUUCUGCGCAGAGUUUAAUUCAUUGAUCGAAGAGACUUGAGGAGAAGAACCAGAGAAUAAAAAAAGGGACCGUAUUA